GGCUGUUGCUGGUCCUCGAAUGGGGACAUGUGCACGCUCUGUUUACACAUCCACUCACACCUGUGCACCCUCUGUAGUUUUACGGUCUGGGGGACCCUGUCUUCCUUCUGUAGUUCUACGUCUUUACACACACACUGUAAUAAAGUCUUAUGGAAUGUAUGCCGCGUCUAACGCAACACAAUACAACUUUCAGCAACGGAUCUCUUGGCUCUCGCAUCGAUGAAGAACGCAGCGAAAUGCGAUAAGUAAUGUGAAUUGCAGAAUUCAGUGAAUCAUCGAAUCUUUGAACGCACCUUGCGCCCCUUGGAUAUUCCGAGGGGCAUGCCUGUUUGAGUAUCAUGAACACCUCAACUCUCAUGGUUUGCCGUGACGAGCUUGGACCUUGGGGGUUUUGCUGGCCUGUGGUCGGCUCCUCUCAAAUGAAUCAGCCUCCCAGUGUUUGGUGGCAUCACGAGUGUGAUAACUAUCUACUCUCGCGGUUGCCCACCAGGUAACCUUUGGUGACAAAGGUUCGCUGGAGCUCACAGAUGUCUCUCCUUAGCGAGGACAGCUUUUUAACGUUCGAUCUCAAAUCAGGUAGGACUACCCGCUGAACUUAAGCAUAUCAAUAAGCGGAGGAAAAGAAACUAACAAGGAUUCCCCUAGUAACUGCGAGUGAAGCGGGAAGAGCUCAAAUUUAAAAUCUGGCGUGCCUCUGGUCGUCCGAGUUGUAGUCUAGARAAGUGUUUUCCGUGCUGGACCGUGUACAARUCUCCUGA
rnacentral:rRNA from 1 species